AGGUAGGAAUACCCGCUGAACUUAAGCAUAUCAAUA
rnacentral:rRNA from 1 species